UACGUAGGGUGCGAGCGUUAAUCGGAAUUACUGGGCGUAAAGCGUGCGCAGGCGGUGAUGUAAGACAGGUGUGAAAUCCCCGGGCUUAACCUGGGAACUGCAUUUGUGACUGCAUAGCUAGAGUACGGCAGAGGGGGAUGGAAUUCCGCGUGUAGCAGUGAAAUGCGUAGAUAUGCGGAGGAACACCGAUGGCGAAGGCAAUCCCCUGGGCCUGUACUGACGCUCAUGCACGAAAGCGUGGGGAGCAAACAGG
rnacentral:rRNA from 1 species